AGUGAACGCUGGCGGCAGGCCUAACACAUGCAAGUCGAGCGGCAGCGCGUCCGACCACCCUCGGGUGGUCGGAUGGCGGCGAGCGGCGGACGGGUGAGGAAUGCAUCGGAAUCUGCCUCGUUGUGGGGGAUAACGUAGGGAAACUUACGCUAAUACCGCAUACGACCUACGGGUGAAAGUGGGGGACCUUCGGGCCUCACGCGAUGAGAUGAGCCGAUGCCGGAUUAGCUAGUUGGCGGGGUAAAGGCCCACCAAGGCGACGAUCCGUAGCUGGUCUGAGAGGAUGAUCAGCCACACUGGAACUGAGACACGGUCCAGACUCCUACGGGAGGCAGCAGUGGGGAAUAUUGGACAAUGGGGGCAACCCUGAUCCAGCCAUGCCGCGUGUGUGAAGAAGGCCUGGUU
rnacentral:rRNA from 1 species